GAUGAAGAACGUAGCGAAAUGCGAUAAGUAAUGUGAAUUGCAGAAUUCAGUGAAUCAUCGAAUCUUUGAACGCACAUUGCGCCCGCCAGUAUUCUGGCGGGCAUGCCUGUCUGAGCGUCAUUUCAACCCUCAUGCCCCUAGGGCGUGGUGUUGGGGAUCGGCCAAAGCCCGCGAGGGACGGCCGGCCCCUAAAUCUAGUGGCGGACCCGUCGUGGCCUCCUCUGCGAAGUAGUGAUAUUCCGCAUCGGAGAGCGAUGAGCCCCUGCCGUUAAACCCCCAACUUUCCAAGGUUGACCUCAGAUCGGGUAGGAAUACCCGCUGAACUUAAGCAUAUCAAUAAGCGGAGGA
rnacentral:misc_RNA from 1 species